AUGACGCCUGGGGGGAGCAUCUGGCGUUGGGAGGAUUGGGUGGUUGGAGCGGCUGUUCCUUCUCAGGCUCUAAGCUCUAAAACAGCUCCAAGAUGGCCCUGCCUUCUGGACCUCCAGGUCUUCACCUCAAUAGAGUCUCCACUGAGAAUCAUAGAUCUUCAUGCCUGCAAUGUUGCCUCCUUUCUUGGGUCUGGCUGUCUAUUCUUGUUGCCUUUGUCUUUGAUUACUUUCCAGGCCAGGAUGAGUAGAGCCACCAGAGUUAUUAGGAGUGCAAAGAAGAAGAGAACUUUUACUAGAUGUGACUGAGCAGGCAGAGAAGUUUGCUCAGCAAGGUUGAACAACUGCUCAUAAUGUCAACACAGUUCUGAGGUGAUAGUUCAAUUAGCAAAACUUCUGGGUGGUGGGUGGGGCUUCUGAGGCUUUGUGAUGUCACCUGAAGGUGUGGCUAGGGUCUGAAUGGAAGGUUCUAGUCCAGAAAUCUCUACCCUCUGAGCAUCACCUCCCUUCAUGUCUGGCCUCCAGAUUGAAAAGAGAAUUUCCCAAUUGCCUGUGAAGAUGCCCUGUCAAUCCUUUUUUAUCUUUCUUACUUUUCAUUUUGAAAUAAUUUUAGGUAUAUAAGAAGUUGCAAAGACAAUACAGAGAGGUCCCAUGUACCCUUCACCCAGUGUCCCCCAAUGGCUAAUCUUGUGUAACUGUAGUACAAAAUCAAAACCAGUGAAUGGACAUUGGAACAAAUCUGUGCAUAUAGUUCCAUGGCAUUUUAUCAUACAUGUAGAUUCUUGUAACUAUCACCAAAAUCAAGAUAUAGAACAAUUCCAUCACCAUGAAGAUCUCCUAGUGUGCACUUUCUACCAGUUGGAGACAGAUAUAGAGAACUUACCUCCCAUUAUGUCUCUUUACACUCUUCCAUUUAUAAUAUAAUUUUAUUCAAUAUUUCCUCUAUAUACAUUGAAAUUCACAUUUAAACAAUGUCAUGCUUUUUUUUUUUUGGCUGAGGAAGAUUAGCCCUGAGCUAACAUCUGUUGCCAAUCCUCCUUUUUUGCUUGAGGAAGGUUAGCCCUGAGGUAACAUCUGUGCCAGUCUUCCUCCACUUUAUAUGUGGGUCACUGCCACAGCAUGGCUGAUGACUGAUAUAGGUUGGGGCCCAGGAUCCAAACCCAUGAACCUGGGCCGCCAAAGCAGAGCAUAUCAAAUUUAACCACUAUGCCACAGGGCCAGCCCCAAGACAAUGUAUGCUUUUUGCUUCGACUGUCAAAUAUAAUUUAGGAAACACAAGAUGAGAAGAAAACUCUAUUGUACUUACCCA
rnacentral:lncRNA from 1 species